rnacentral:rRNA from 1 species
AUUGAACGCUGGCGGCAGGCUUAACACAUGCAAGUCGAGCGAGCGGCGGACGGGUGAGUAAUGUCUGGGAAACUGCCUGAUGGAGGGGGAUAACUACUGGAAACGGUAGCUAAUACCGCAUACCAUCAGAUGUGCCCAGAUGGGAUUAGCUAGUCGGUGGGGUAAUGGCUCACCUAGGCGACGAUCCCUCGCUGGUCUGAGAGGAUGACGAGCCACACUGGAACGUAUACACGGUCCAGACUCCGACGUGAGGCAGCAUGGGGGAAUAUUGCACAGUGGGCGCAAGCCUGAUGCAGCCAUGCCGCGUGUGUGAAGAAGGCAUUCGGGUUGUAAAGCACUUUCAGCGAGGGGGCGUUACUCGCAGAAGAAGCACCGGCUAACUCCGUGCCAGCAGCCGCGGUAAUAC